UACGUAGGGGGCAAGCGUUAUCCGGAAUUACUGGGCGUAAAGGGUGCGUAGGCGGUUUAUCAAGUCAGGGGUGAAAGGCUACGGCUCAACCGUAGUAAGCCUCUGAAACUGGUGAACUUGAGUGUAGGAGAGGAAAGUGGAAUUCCCAGUGUAGCGGUGAAAUGCGUAGAUAUUGGGAGGAACACCAGUGGCGAAGGCGACUUUCUGGACUAUAACUGACGCUGAGGCACGAAAGCGUGGGGAGCAAACAGG
rnacentral:rRNA from 1 species